AGGUUCAGUUUUUCUUCCUUCCUUCCUUUCUUUCUUGUUCAAAUUUAUUUAUUUAUUUGUUACAUUAAAAUUUCCUCAUAUCUCCCUCCCUCCUGUCCCCUGUAAAAAUGGAGACUUGAACCUGGGACUCAAUUUCCCAGGAAUCCUUGCUAGCUCCCAGAAUGCCCUCUAAUCUCACUGAGAUUUCCACAUGGGAGAGGUCAAAAAUUUCUAUGUAACCUGGCUGUAAAGGCUACUGGGCCUCUCUUUCCUACUUCCACUUCGGAUCACACGUGGCUUUCCACCUAGCAGGCAACAUCUGCUGCUUGUUCCAGCCAUUGGAUAGCUCACCGGCUCCCAGCCUGGCCCUCCCCUGCCUGCCUGCCGCCAUUCACUUCGGACUUUCUUGAGCCUUUCCCGCUGACCCGGCUGCACUCUGUUCUCACCUGGUGCCAGCUCUCCCGGCCCUGCCUACCCUGGCUGCCUGCUCUGGCUCCCAGCCCUGCUUGCCUGCAUUCCUGUCCCGGCCCGACCCUGUCCCUGUUUAACCCAGAUCGUGAUCACCUGGUGACCUGCCUGCCCAACAAACUCUAGCCUUGGAGAAGAUCACUCAUCACUCAGGACUCAUUUCUACUAGCUGGUAAAAAACAAGGGUAUUGGCGGAGGAUCGUAGGAGGGGAGAAAGUAGAGGGAAAGAAGAAAGUGAUUCUUUCAAAACAGGAACUUAAAAGCAUGGCUAUUUUACAAGGAUAUCUUUUAAUUGCAUUGAUAAUUUUAUUGACUUCACCUGCGUGUCAGGGAAAACAUUCAGCUCUGUACAACCUUUUAGCUAACUUUGGGGAGGCAGCUGGGUGUCUCAGUGGACUGAGAGACAGGCCUAGAGACGGGAGGUCCUGGAUUGGAAUAUGGCCUGAGUCACUUCAUGGUGGUGUGGCCCUGAGCAGAUCGCUUGGACCCCAUUGCUUAGCCCUUAGCACUCUGCCUUCUGACAAUAGGCAUCUAAAUGGAUAAAACCCAAGGAACUUUAAAGAGACUGGAGGUUAUAUUUUUUAAGGCAUUUCAGAAUCCAAUGGUUUAUACAAAUCUCUAUAUUCUAUUGCAUUUUACUGUUUGCUCUGUUUAAGAUUUAACUUUGUGAUUUUAAGUUCAUAUAUUACUGCAUUCAAUAUUAUUCUGUUACACUGAAUCAUUUUAAUGUACUGGGUUUUAACUACUGUUAUAUUCUGUUGUGUUUCCCCUAUAACCAUAUUGAACAAAUACUAUUGAAUAUGCCCAUAUAUGAAAAAAAAACACAGCUUUUCUAUUUUUGACUUUGUAAAUUGUCACAUAGAGGAUAGAUGGACUUCAUCAGAAUUGGUUACAAUUGUAUAACAACCUUUGGAAAAUUUAAUGUGCUAAUAAAUAUCACAACUGAUUUUAAGGGGUUUCUAGA